CGCUCUGGUGGCCUAGUGGUUAGAGCAUCCGCCUCAGAUACGGGAGGUCAUGGGGUCGUUCCCCGGUCGAGUCA